rnacentral:rRNA from 1 species
UGGUGGAGUGAUUUGUCUGCUUAAUUGCGUUAACGAACGAGACCUUAACCUGCUAAAUAGUUAUGCUUACGUUUAGGUUUGCUCAGGUUUCGACUUGGGUUUACUGUGUAGGUAGAUAUACUUCUUAGAGGGACUAUGCAUGUUUAGUGCAUGGAAGUUUGAGGCAAUAACA